UAUCUUUGCAGCCGUUUUGGAGAGCAGUUUUUCCAAAAAAGUCAGAUAAUCUGGCGUACAUAAUAUUCAUUAUCAAAUAAUUUUGGCAUG
rfam:Nonlabens spongiae strain JCM 13191, complete genome.